rnacentral:lncRNA from 10 species
CAGAAAAUCAGAAUGUUGAAAGUGACAUAUUCCAACUGAUGACAAAAGCCUGCAGGAUCAGAAACUUUUGUAGAUAGGCUCAGGCCCAAGUAUGGUGGAUUAAGACUGACCUGAGAGAACACGAUAUCAGCACAUCCAUUGAUGGGAAGGAAGGACGUUGACCCAAUAGGCCAUUGGCUUUGUGGAACAACAGUCUUGAAAACCCUUGGAGAAGAUAGGUGCAGCCAACUCUGGAGGACUGCCUGAAAGGGAGCAGAGCCUGUAGAGGAGGCAUGGUACUUCUAGGAGUCUCCAAGAUGGCUUGUGUGAACACGUGUCAGACCAGGUUAUUGGAGGCCACCGUGCUGUCACCUUCCUCUGCCAAGUCCAGGCCCACUGUGGGGACCGCUGUCCAGGCUUAGAAACUCCGGUAUGAACACUGGUGGGCGGGCACUCUCCCGUAGCUGCCCUUGGCCACAAUGGAGAUCUCCCCUGGCCCUCUCCCAGACUGAGUCACCUGUACUACACAGUUUGCCCUGUUUGACACAACUGCCAGCCAAACCUGAGAUCCUCCUGGGUCACUGGCCAUGCCCAGGAGAGGCCUCGAGGAGCCAAUCUUUGCAGCCCAGCCACAGAUGCUCUUGGCCAUCAAGGAGCUUUACUGAGCCCUGUCAGGGGACAGGAGGAUUCACUUCCCUCAGCUCCCCUCUGUGAGACACCUAUAGUAAGGCUACAGAUUUCAAAGGGACGCCAAAUUUGGUUGUUUCCACCAGCGAAACCCAUUUUUGCCCUAGGGCCCACAUAGAUCAUCAGCAUAGUGAUGUCAGCAGCACCCUUCAGGCCCAGGGGCAGAAAACUGCUGGUUGUGACAUCCUUCCUCUUCUCCUCCCCUUUAAAGACCCUGCCUUCCUUUUUCAUAAUUGGCUCAAAUCACUCUCCUCCCACUCUGAUCUCACAUUCAUUAAUUCAUCUGGUCAACAUCAAAUAUUCAUUAUGCACCAAUUAUCUGUAAAACGGGGAUAGGAAUAAUGAUAUUUCAUUGUCUUGGUUUCGGUCUUCGUGCAAGCAGACUUGAGACAAGGGCUUGGUUGCAGGCUUUUUAUUCGGGAGGUGAUCCCAGGAAGCAGGAGUGAGGGAGCAGGAAGAUUGAGCAGGGAAGGAGGAAAACAGUAACCUAAGGGUGUGCUAUUGGUUACUGCUGCUGGCAGUGGGAGCCCAAGUGCAUUGGCACAUCUGAGAAGCACACAGAAGCAUCCCAGGAUUGUCCUCCUGAAGGAAGGGAGGCAAGAGCAUUUAUCCAUAGCUCCUAGCCCCCUUGGUAGAUAGUUGCCUUGGGACAGGGAGUGAGAGGUUGGGGGUUACCUGCCCUGACCUUUAGAGGGCUGAGCUGAUUUCUGCAGCUUUAGCAAGUCUUUAAGGCAGAGAGGAGCAAGCCAUGGGCACAUGCCUAAGUGGCACUGUCCAAGGAAGAAGCUCCUCCUUGCAGUUGGACUGAAGUCAAGAGUGGGAUGAGGGGCCGUGAUACAGCACGGAAAACAUACACUACACUUUCUCAUGAAGUAGUUACCAUUAACUGAGUUAAUUUAUGUAAAACACCUAGAACAAUACCUGCCCCCAAUAAGGCUAUAUGUGUGUGUUUGCUGCUAUUAUUUGUGUGACUAUUACAUGUGCCUGGUGCUUCUCCAGGCUCUGUAGGUAACACUCUCAUGAGACUUACUUUCAGCUCACAAAACAUGCCUUGUUUAUGUGUCAAAGCUCUGAUUCUUGAUACUGUCCAAGUUCUUUUGCCAGGAGAUUCUCAGCCCCCAUGUUUGGGGAUGGCCAGGGGACAUGGCCCCACUUGACUGCCUGCCUUGCCAGUAUCUCUGAUCCAUUUUGGAGGCCUGCCCUGCCAUGCUCUGCUUCCCAGGAUCCUGAACAAGGAUUUGAGAACUAAGGUUUGAAUUCUGCAUAUGAAACAGUCAAACUCAAGUUGUCCAUCUGCUGGGAAAAGAAAAUAGCUUCAGAGCAAAGUCACUUGCCUUUUAAUAAUUGAUGGAUAAAAGAUUGCAGCAUGUGCAAAAACACACUUUCCAGAUCUGCCACUAAGAACGGUUCGGGCAGAAGAAACUGCUCUUUCCAUUGCCCCAGAGGCCAGGCCUGCCCUCAGCUAAUCUGGUGACCUAAUCCUUUCACAUGGGGGAGGACCAGAGCAUUUGCAUACAAGCAAUGAAUGCAUCUUUCCACCAGAGGCUUCCAGAGGCAAGUCCAAUCUAGUUAGUGCUUAUCUGUCCAAGCUGGCUGACCUUCUCCCAGUGCACAGUCCAGUCCCAAGUCCUCCCACCCCUGCCUUGUUCCCAGAACGAGUCUUGACUAUUCUAGCCUCAUACCUCGUCCCUAAGUUGCAACACUUGAUAUGGCUCCUUGAGGACUGCCUUGGCCAUCUCCUUGUUGCCGCUCCCACUGACUGCUUGGGUUUCAGCAGUUCACGGCUUCACGAGGCAACCCCUCCCUCUUGGUUCUAUGAUAACAUAACCGGUCACAGGCCUUUUGCCCAGCCCAGGCACUGAGGGACUGGGACCUGCCCUGGCCCCAUCUUGGCUUUCACAAAUGGGAGCUGGUGAGGUCUCACCCAGGUGAAACCCGGAAUUCACUUUCCUUUCAAAUGUUAAUAUGUUGCUGUGAAAACAUGCCUUUAUCAGUCCAGAAUCCUGUGUCUGUAAUCUCAAUAUCUAAAAGCUCUGAAAGCCAAAAGUUGGUUAUAAUCUGCAUGGUAGCAAAAUCUAACAGGGUUAAUUUCAUUUUCCAGAAUUAUCUGACCUGCACUAAGUGGAGGCUAUCUAUUGCCUUUAUUGAUCUCAUUUGGUGUGAAUACGCAUACAUGCUGCUGGAGAAAUAUUAAUGUCAUUGAUUACGAGGUGUCCCAGAGCUCACUGGGGUGUUGAUGUAUGAAGUGGUAUGUGCACCAAACUGCCUUUCUAAAAUACAUUCUGAAUUCUGAAACAUACCUGGCCCCAAGAUUUUGGAUGAGGAAUUUAGGCCUGUAUUAAAAUUAACCCAGGGAGGGUUAGGGCCUGGGAGAAGUGACCAUGAGUGGCCAUUGUUAUCUAAAGCUAAUGCAGGGAGCCAGGGGCAGCAGUGGCCUGAGUUAAAUAUCACUGGAUCCUUUAGUAUAAUUACAGAGUCAGGACUUAAGGAGAGUCAUUGACAUCCCUUUCAUCAAAAAGAAAAGAAAGAAUUGCUCCCUGUAAUCCAUACCCAUUAAUUCAGCAUCUCCCCUAGAUAGCUGAAACCCCUUCAGAAAGACUGGAAUAUUUUCUAGAUAAUAAAUCUGGGUCUUUAUCUUUCCCUUUUCUUCUUUCCCCUCUUCCCUUUGCCCCAUCCCUGAACUUCCCCCUCUUCUUGUGUUUUUGUCCAUAAAAGAGCAGCUUCUGUCAUUCAUGUGACAAUGAGCCUCCUUAGGUAAUUAAAGGGGAGUCUGCAGCCUGAACUACAAGUGAGAGGUCAUCUUUUUCAGCUUAUAGUCCUACCUCUACUGGGAGUGUGAUUCUGGGGACAAGAAGGAAGAAACGGUGCCAAAGCGCAUGGAUGGCCAAUUGUGCGCCUGGCUCUUCCAUGUGGAGUAGGCAGUGGGGCUGCUUGGAGCACACUUAGUGUUUGCCCUCCAGAUUUUUCCAGUCUCCUCAUAGAUGACCCAUGCCUGAUCUAGAAUAGGGAGGCAGGGUUUUAGAUUUAACUAGAAGUCUUCAUUUGUAUUCUUCCCAGAAGCAGACCCUGAGAUGAGGGUUCUGGGAAAUAAGGAGAACAGCAGUUGGGAAGAGGAGAACAAAGCCAGGGGAUGACUAGAGCUUAAUCCUUUGGGGAAACUCUGGGUAACAGCACAGAACACACCUCAGAGUUAUCUUCCUAAGGUGCCAGAUGAGGGAGUUGAGGUAUUUAUACACCCUCUCCUGAGACUCAUGGGUUGAGGGCUGCUGGAGGCUGCGAUGACAAUGCCCUGACACAUGGGCCUGCUUCCUGGGGGCAAAAGCCUCAGGCACAGACAUACAUACACUGGGGUUUGAAGUUGAUUGUUACAUACUGUAAUAGUAACAUCCAAGCAAUACUAGCAGGGCACUGACAGCAUCUAAUACAGUUUUUUUUUUUUUCACUAAAAUGCAAAGGAAUGUUUGCAUUUCUUUAUCAGAAGAAGGAAAAGAAUGCCAGUCUUCCCAUUUUGAUGGUUGUGCCCACAAGAACCAGCAGAGCCUGGAAGGACAAUAUGCUUGGUAGUGGGAUCAUUUGGGGCUAGUGAGGGGGCAGGGUCUCGGGAAAAAGGGCACGGUGCCUGGUGAAGGGAGUCAUUCUGGGGGUGCUGCAGUGAUGAUGCUAGUGGCAGCUGUGCCCUUGGCAAUGGGAGUGGGGGUCUGCUACUGCAGUGAACCCUGAAAGCAGUAGGGAGGUGCUUCUUUAUAUCCCUUAGAGACUUCAGCAAAAAAUAUCCUUGAAUAAGGCUAGGGUAGGCAAGGGAAAAAUGGCAGGCACAGCAGUGGACUCAGCUUGAUUGUGAAGCCCUUUCUUAGGCUCUGUAUGGGGCUGGAAAUACCACAUGUGUCCUGUUUGGUGGGGAGGGGUCCUGUUGGGUGGAUAAGUGAUGCUCAGAGCAUUUCUAGGGCAGGAGUUGUCAAACUUUUUCCUGCUAAAUAUUAUAGGCUUUAGGGGUACUACUGUCUCUGUUGUAACUACUCAGCUUCCCUAUUGUAUAUCAAGAAAUGGUCACAGACAAUAUGUAAGGAAUGCGUAUGGCUGUGUUCCAUCACAACUUUAUUUAUGGAUGCUGAAAUCAGAAUUUUAUAUAAUUUUCAUGUGUCACAAAUUUUUUUUUCUGAUUUUGUCCAUUCAUUAAAAAAUGCAAAACCUAUUUUUACCUUGUGAGCCACACUGAAACAGGCUGUAGGCUGAAUUGGGCCCGUGAACUGUAUUUGCAGACCCUUGUUCUAGGGCUUCUCUCUGACUUGGGCUCCAGGGUUAAGGGCAGAUUUCCAACCGAUUCUUGACAGCGUAGGAGGGGCAAACCUCCUCCUCACUCCAGUGAGAUAAGUGACUCAUCCAAUAAUGGCAAAGACUCAAAAGCAAGGAGAUAGAACCUCAUGUAUGCGUGGACAUUUAACUGGCUCCGGUGAAGGCUUGAAGCCCUAUUUGCUAAGCUUCUGCUCAUUUGCUGCUCCAGAAAGUGACAGCCUGCAUGACCAGUCCACAGCCUGUUACUUUGGGGAUUUUACAGGGUUCAUAGAGUAAAGAGGAGACUUUGGGUAAAUACAGAUCAAAUAUUUGGGUGACACUGGUAGAGUGAAAAGGUAGACUUUUAAGCCACAUCGCCUUGCACGCAGCUUCCAGCUCUGCCAUUUACAGCCUAGUAAUCUGAAUCAAGACACUUAAUUACUCUGGGUCUCAGUUUCCUCAUCCAUAAAAUGAGGAGCAAUAAUAACCCCCCUUUUAGGCUUAUUAUGAGGAUAAAGUAAGACAAUACGUGAAAUGACCUUGGAUCAAGCUCAGCUUGGCAUCUCAUCUUUACUUAAUGGAUGGUUUUAAAAUUAUUUUUAAUGCCAACUUCACAAAGUUGUGAUAGAAAUUAAAUGAGAUAAAUGUGUAAAGGGCUCAGGGACAUAGUAUGUGUUAAGAAAAUUAUUGCUACUAUUAAAAAUAUGAUGGAGAAAAAAAGGUUAGGUAUUUCUCCAUCUUCUCUUUGGGAUGAUGGCUCUCAAGAGGUGGGAAGAGGAGGACAAUGGCACCUGCAUAAUUUUGAUUGCAGGAUAUUUGUAUUCUUUCCCUUUCUGAAGUUCCUGAAUAGCAAAUGUUUUUGACAGCAAUUGGGUCUGGAUGCCACGUUUUGAAGCCCAACUAACAAACAAGAGAUUAUGAGACUGCAGUUAUCUUUUACCAGCUGCGUGGAAAAAUCCUGUCAUUUGGCAUCACACAACUAUGAAUUCUUUUAUCUCUUUCUCCCUUCUUAUGUGCUCCUGGAGCAUAUGUAAGCAAGCUCUGACAUUGAUAACACAUUCUUAUUAACCAUUAUCUGAAAGAUGGGAUGCCAACUUAGGAGUUUUGCAUUGCAUAUCAGAUGGAAAUUUCCAUUGGGGAAUGGAAUGUUAUCCACUCCUGGCCAAUGACAUCCCAAGGCUGAAGUUACCUUCUACAUACACCAUAGUCUGAGGUCAUGAAUUGGCUAGAUUUCUGCCCAAAUCUUUGCCUACUCCUUCAGAAGGAAAUGGAAUAUGAGGCAACUAUGGGCACUUAGAGGGAACAGAAAGUUGAUUUUCUGUCAUAUAAACGUUAGCUUCUUAGGCAGUGUAGAUGGAGCAGGUGACUGGAGCCAGAGGGAUGGGGUUGUGCUUGUAGAAAGGCCAAAUGAACAGGCUGAGUGGAGACCCUGUGGGGGCCCCUGAGAUGCACCCUUUAAUAUUCAUCCCACUCCAUGUGGUCAGUCUAAGCACAUCAUGUAAUUCCCAUUUUCCUUGACAGAAAUUGGUUAAGUAAAGGGCAUGUUAUCCACUCCUGGCCAAUGAGAUGAGGAAAAGCCUACAGUACGUGUGUGUGUGUUGGUUGGGGGGCAGUCUGGGGAAAGUUUAUCUUCUGUGAAGAAGGAACUCAGAGAGAGAGUGCCUUUUCGCCCUGUGGACUUUGCCAUGAGCGCCUGGUGCUAAGGUGUCAUCCUGCUAUCAUCCCUCUGAGAGACCAGCAUCAAGUAUUCCUGAAAGGCAAGAGGGAUGGUUCCUGGAUCCCUAAGGACAGCAUUGCCUGGCAGCUGAUCUCUACUUGCCUUCAAAUUAUAAUAUCUCUGUGCUUGCUCAUUGUUGAAGUCAGUUUGAGUUGGAACUCUGUUCCUUGUAACCAGAAGGAUCCUAUCUGGGGGCCACAUUUUUGACAUUGGAAUAUCACCAAGGUGAGAAAUAAGGGAAGGGUGUGCACUAGGCAUUUAGAAGAGGGGAGCGGCUGGGCACUUUUAAUGGGUUAGUGUGAAACAUACCUUGUACUCUAUCUGGAGCAUCCUAUAUUAAUUAACUAACUUAUUAAUGAGCCUGUAUAAGGCACCUACUACAUGGUCAGCAUAGGGACAGGUCUUUCUGAGAAUAAAAGAGUCAUAUAAAACAUCAUUCUAGUUGUCAAGCAUCAUAAAAUUUAGUUGGUGGAGACAAGACUAGAAAUAAAACAAAAUAAGUGGUUUAGAGAAGGGCGUGAUGAGUGAGUGCUAGAGUAGGUAAAAGCUUCGUGGGAGAUGGAGAAAGCUAAGCUGGGCCUUAAUCAGCAGAAAGAAUAAAGGUGAGGACAUAGAGACGUUAAGUCACAUGCUCCAACACAGCCAGAAAGUGGCAGAGCUGGGGUUCAAACCCAGUAUGUCUGACUCCUUCCAACCCUGGGCAUGUAACUACUAUGCUGGAGCAUACUUAUGCUCCCAAUGUGUAUUUGUAAGCCUGGAAUGCUCAUAUAUUAAUUUAUAAUGAGAAAUAGAACUGGAAAACAUUAUGAAUUCAAAAUCUGUGAAGCCAAGUUAUAUUCAGAAGGUUCCCAAGGCAGCUUGAAGCUGAUUAACAGACAGGAUAUCCCUGACACCAGGAUGGAGGCAUGUGUCUUGAAGGGCUAGUCCUUCUCUUCCUGGCUAGGUACUGGUAAGAGAAUGGCCAGUUUUGGAGUCUUGGGGCUCCCAUUUAAAUGCUCCAGGCUGUUCCUAAAGUCCUUCUUCAGUCAUGGUGUAAGUCAACUGGUCAGGCCUCUAGGUGUUCAUUAUGUUCACAUUUAAUUCAGUGGUGUACUAGCAAGUGUUUAACAAAUGGCUCUCUGGGGCACUGGGGGAAGCCCUAAUUUGUAACAUUCACCAAGUCAAGUUCCAUGGUGUAAAUACUCCCUCCAAGACUAUUUCAAGCUACCAGCAGGAAGAGAUGCACACAAUCAAUGGCUCUUGAGUGCUGGUACCGGCAGGCUCCAGCACACCACUGUGCUCACAUUGCAUCCUGCCUCUCAGAGCCUUCCCAGAUGCCUUGAUGGGAAUUAUGGAAUGUUCUCAGACUUUUGUAGAACAUUUACCAAAUUAGUCACAGCCAUGUGUGUGAACUUUUUCAGUUUAAUUAUUGGAAAAUGGCCUCACUUCCAAAUUCUUGGAGAACACUGUUUUUACCUUCAUGUACCGUCAACUAAUAGAGCUGUAAGGUGGCCAAAGAAACCAAAGAUGGAUUUCCUUUCUGUAUUGCCUAAAGUCCAGAGUUCUGUUAAAAAUUACUGUCAAGAGUGAGGCUUGGGGUCUGUGCUGCACUGAGUAAUACCAUGGGUAGCAAUAGAUAAAUUGGCACAGAAGAAUCUUCUACAGCACCACCGCCAUUCACCCCCUGCCUCACUUUGCUGUCUUACCCAACAUUACAUGACAGAAAAAAGAAAUUGUGUUGCCUAGUAACAGCUCUGAGCAAGGGGAGACCAGUCAAUACAAUUCUGAAUUAAGGCAACAUCCACAAAAAAAUCCAUCUUGAGGAUUUAUACGAAAACCAAAGUGUAGUUAUAGUCUUACAAGCUGGUGGAGAAGUCCCAUUAGCUUUGGGUAUUGGAUUAUUUAGAAUAAUAUAUCUGAGAUAUAGAUUUCUUUUUCUGGGAAGAAUAAUCUACUCUGAGGCCAUGAAAAUCAAUAGGCCACUUUGAAGACUGACUUCAGCUGUUAUUGGUAAUGUUUUGGUUGUGUUUGUGAAUCAACAAUCAAGCAAAAAUAAGGCCAUUUAGUAGCUCACACUAAAGAGCACUACUUGUCAAUUUUGCAACGAAGCCUCUCCAUCCAUUGAAUGAAACAGCAUCUCCCAAGGGCUGCUGUGAGCCUAUGGAGACCCUGAAAGCUGACACCAGCACAAAGAAUUAAGGAUAAGUCUUCCAGGGUGGCCAGUCAUCCCAGCAUAUUGAGACUGAGGAGUUUCCCAGGAUGCUGGACUUUUAAUGCUAAAACUAGGAAACUCCUUGGCAAACUGGGACAGUUGGUCGCCCUGGAUCAGUGGUUCUCAACUGCAGAUGAUUUUGCCCCUCAGGUAGGGUUGCCAGAUAAAACAGAAGAUACUCUGUUAAGUUUGAUUUUCAGAUAGACAAUGAAUAAUUUUUCAGUAUAAGUAUGUCCCAACUACUACAAUGGGACACAUUUAGAGUUAAAAAGAAUUAUUCUUUGCUUGUCUAAAAUUCGAAUUUAACUAGGCUUUUAACAUUUUUUAAAAAAUUUUUUUUGUAAAACUGACAGUCUUACCCCCAGGAGAUAGUUGGUAAUGAUUGGAAGCCUCUUCGGUUUUCACAACCACAACUUCAUCAGGGAUGCUACUAGCAUCUAGUGAGUAGAGGCCAGGCAUGCUGCUAAACUUCCUAUAAGGCACCAAUGCAGACAACAGCUGCCUAAAACAAAGAAUUAUCUGGCCUGAAAUGUCAGUGGUGCAGAGGUUGGGAAAUCCUGCCGUAGACCUAAACAAGCUGGUGCCACGGAGCUCCAUCUUCCUUGAGAAAACACUAAAGGAUGGACGUGGGCUUCCCUGCUUCAUGCACACAGAUGGAAAAAUGUCACAUACAUUCCUGACCUUUAACACUUUCAGUCUGAUGCGUCAAACAGCCAUUGGGAGCUUAAGAAGUGUCUAGCAAAAUGGGACAAUUCCCCUUGCCGGACUCCCCCUUCCACACUUGGAAGGGUGAGGCAGUGUGUGUCAUCAAACAAUAGAGCAGAUAAAAGCUGAAUCAGGGUGGUCUCCAGGACACCCCCAUCUCCCCAGACUUCUAUGGUGACAUUUCUUGCACUCCUCAAGUUUGUUCAUGGCUUUGAAAACACAGUUUCAGAAUGUCUUCAUUGUUUCAUACGGUACUGGCCGCGCCUGGAGUUUUCCUGAAGGAAACUGUAGCAGCAGGAAUUUUGUGCAAUACUAUAAUAAGGGGGCUUUAUCCUUCCAAAAAUACAUCCUUUCUCCUUGUUGCCAGCUCUCCCACAGCCCUGUGAAAAAUGUAGCUCAGAAGUUACUGAGGCGUUUUUCUGUUUUUCCUUUCUCACUUUAGUUCAUAUCAAGCAACAGAAAGCAAUUCUAUUAUUCACACUUAGGCGUGCUAGCUUGAAUGAAUGAACAAAUCAAAUAUCAAUCCUUUUCUCAUUUCCCUAGUGUGUAAGAACUGAAAUGUAGAAAGUGGCAUCUGCUUAAAAGGAAUUGGUGAAUUUGACUUCUCUAGGUACCUUAUCCAAGUGGAAUGAGUGUUUAAUGGGCACAGAGUUUCAGUUGGGAAGAUCGAAACGUUCUGGUAGAUGGAUGUUGGUGAUGGUUGCACAACUAUGUGAUUAUACUUAAUGUCAUGGAACUGUACACUUAAAAAUGGUUAAAAUAGUAGAUUUUAUGUUAUGUAUAUUUAAUCACAGUUUAAAGAAAGGAAUUGGUGAUGCAUGUCUAUGCAUGUAAGUUUUGAUAUAUGCUUGCUGAUUGAUUAUUUAUCUAAGGUCUGUUUACAUAUUUUCCCCCAGUAAACUUGGUACUUGCCUCAUUGUCCUGUAUCCUUAUCCUUAAAUUAAUUGGACAAUGCCUCUUUCUUCUUCUCCCUCUUCUUAACUCCAGCAGUCACAUGAAGAUAGAAAUAUAUUUUGUCUUUGGAAGUUACUCUUUUUUAAUUUUUUAAUUUUUGUGGGUACAUACAUAGUAGGUGUAUAUAUCUAUGGGGUACAUAAAAUGCUUUGAAAUAGGUAUGCAAUGCAUAAUAAUUACAUCAUGGAAAAUGGGGUAUCCAUCCCCUCAAAUAUUUAUGUUUCAUGUUAUAAUCCAAUUAUACUCUGGAGUAUACGCUGAGUACUCCAAAUGUACUCAAUAGUACAAUUAAAUUACUACUGACUAUAAUCACCCUGUUGUACUACAAAAUACUAGGUCUUAUGCAUUAUUUCUAACUAAUGUUUUUGUACUCAUUUACCAUUCCCCCUCCCCUUCACAGUCCCCCAUUACCCUUCUCAGCCU